UCCCUCUCAGGGUCACACCUGUAGAGUUUCCAGUACUCUACCAGUCACGACUACAGGAGGGAGAGUCAAGCAGAGCAUACCCAUUCCAUUCCUAGCUUGGGCAGUGGCUAGUGAGCAGAAGGCAGUCUGCUACAAGU